rnacentral:rRNA from 1 species
UGCGCAGGCGGAACGGUAAGUCAGUGGUGAAAGCCUACAGCUCAACUGUAGAACUGCCAUUGAUACUGUCGUUCUUGAGUAUAGUCGGAGUGGGCGGAAUGUAUCAUGUAGCGGUGAAAUGCAUAGAUAUGAUACAGAACACCAAUCGCGAAGGCAGCUCACUAAACUAUAACCGACGCUCAGGCACGAAAGCGUGGGGAGCAAACAGGAUUAGAUACCCUGGUAGUCC